rnacentral:lncRNA from 1 species
CCACUCCCAGCACAUGACCAGAGCUGGGCUCUCCAGUAGCUGAGGAAAAUCUGGAGUUAAUUUCUAAUUUCACCAUGAAUUCCCUUCUUUUGCAGGGUCUGCCAGUGCUGGUGAAGCCUUUUUUGAGAAGCACACAGAAAAUCUGCCAUCCCAAACCCAAAUCUCCUUCCCACUGGCCACCAGCCUGAGCAGGAGCUUCAUACAGGUGCUCCAUCCCAGCUCUGACUUCUGCUGGAUAUUUCCCUAUUCCUGAUCUCCUUUUUGGCAGCUGGGUGAGAAGGGAAUGCCACGGCCAAGGAGGGAUUGCCAGGGAGGGAUUGCCAAGGUUCAAGCUGAAUUCCAAGGGGACAGGAGUGCUGUGUGUCACCUCUGCACCAGAGAGCCGUGUUUGGGGCGAACCAAGACCUGAGCACAUCCUUUUCCAUUUCCACUCCUUUCCAGGGUGAGUGAAUCCUCUUGUCUCCACUCCUGCUGCCGUGUCCUGUGCAGCUCCAAAGUGUGACUUGAGGUUCAGGGGAAAAUCUCUCUUUUCCUAAUCUUUGCACUGAUAACACAGAGCUUAAUUUAGCAGCAGUCAGGCAGAACAUUUGGAUUUUGUCAUCCAUUUCCAAAACUAUUGUUGGCUUCUUAUUCCUUUGUUUCCACACACCACCACCCCCAGCUCGUUUCAGAUUUACAUUUUCUUGGAGGUGCCAAAAGAUAAGGUAAUGCCAACUUGAUGAUUAAUUAGCUAAUACUUUCCUCUGCCCUGAGAUGGAAAGCCUUUAUCUGAGUCACCUAUUAAUUAUUAUUUUAUUUAUGGGUGCAUUUGAAAGGACUCCAGUUCUGCCCUCUUGAGAAAUUUGGGCAGGAAUUUAUAGGAAAAGGAUGAAAGAGAGCCAAAGGAACUUCAAGUUAUUAUCAGAGAAUAAGUCUUAAUGUUGAGAUCAGGGUGCUUUUUUAUCUAUAUUUUGCAAGCCCUGAGCAAUAUCAGAGUCUUAUUGUCAAAAUCACUGGAAAUACAGAGUUCUAAGGCUUUCCAGCAGCAUCCUUAGAGAUGCAAAAAUCAAUAAAAACCUUGAUUUUCCAGAGGCUGUGGGACUG